GAGAGCCGUAUUCGGGAAAACCGAACGUACGGUUCGAUGAGGGGCGGCUGGACGGAGAGACCCGGACCAGCCGCCUACUCCAC
rnacentral:ncRNA from 1 species